CAGCAUCAAAUGCGAGAAAAGACUACUGGUAAAGAAGAAUCAAGAAGAGAGUGAACAGCAGAAGCAGCUACUGCAGCGUGAGGCGAUAGGACAAGAUGCCACACAGUUGUAU